GGACCGUUAGCUCAGCUGGUAGAGCAAUUGACUCUUAAUCAAUGGGUCAUAGGUUCGAAUCCUAUACGGUUCA
rfam:Coprobacillus sp. CAG:826 genomic scaffold, scf29